rnacentral:rRNA from 1 species
AAGGGCACCACAAGAACGCGUGGAGCAUGUGGCUUAAUUUGACUCAACGCGGGGAACUUACCGGGUCCGGACACACUGAGGAUUGACAGGUGCUCGGUAAAGGGAAAAAAAUUCUCCCUUUGGGAUUUUUUUUUUCCCUUUGCCUAAAUAUGAUAGUCCUUUCAUGAUUGUGUGAUAGGUGGUGCAUGGCCGUUCUUAGUUCGUGGAGUGAUCUGUCUGCUUAAUUGCGUUUCAGAAUAAUAGGUUCUUAGCGGCAUUGUUUUUACGUAGCGUGGCCACUCUUAUGCUUUUCGAAGUAUAAGGUGCCCUGCUUUGUUAACAGCCUUUGCAACCUCGAAGGAAACGAACGUGAUCGCAUCCUCUUGUUGCCUCUCUUCUACCAUUUAAACCACGGUAGACUGUUGCCUCGUGGUUACAUUCCUAUUUAAAAGGAAGCCAUGGGAAUAACAGAGCGGAGUGCCUAACUAGAGGGACCGCCGACCUUUUUAAAACGGAGGAAGGUUGCGGCAAUAACAGGUCUGUGAUGCCCUUAGAUGUUCCGGGCUGCACACGUGCUACAAUGAUCGUUGCAGUGAGCAUCUUUAAACGCUCGUAUAAGAGAAAUAAGGCAGAGGCUUGCCUUUGCUUUACGUAUCUUAUACGACACACCUACUUCGAAAGUAAGUAGGUAACCAAUUCGAAGUAACGAUUUCUCUCGCACACAAAACCUCGUAGCGCCUUAGCUAUCUUUGCUCGCUUCGGUUAGUGGAGUUUAGCUAAGGAUUGCUUACGAUGUGCUCUUAUUUUUUUCAUGGUGGGGACAGACCAUUGCAAUUGUUGGUCUCGGUCUUAACUAGGAAUGCCUUGUACGGGUCAUGGUUCAACAGACCACCCGGAAUAUGUCCCUGCCCUUUGUACACACCGCCCGUCGCUCUUACCGAUGGACUUCUCUGUGAGUAUAAGGGACUGGUAUUUUUAUACUAUGGAAACUUACACGAACAGUGUGGUCUAAAGGAAAGAGAAGU